rfam:Tauraco erythrolophus contig67464, whole genome shotgun sequence.
AUAAAGGUUUUUCUAAAAACCACAUAAAAACAGCUGGACCACAACAG